rnacentral:misc_RNA from 1 species
UAGUCUCUACCCACAGGCGAUACUUGAAAUAAACACAUCAUUGACACCUCGCUAGCAUCACGGACGCAAAAUGAACAAUUAGAUGAAAAAUAUCGAGACGAAAAUCCAAUUGAAAAUUAAAGGAACAAUUGCUUUCAACAAGCAAUUUAGACGAUUGUAAAAUUUAUUGCUGUGAAAAUAAGUAUGAGGAUUUUCUAAAAACUACAUCAGGGACAAAUUGGUUUUUAAAACUAUUUUGCACAUUAUCAAAAAAGCUAAGACAGGGAAAAGACAGUUGGUAAGCAUGCAGGACAUGGAGCAAGAGUCUCCAAAUAGCUCCCCGAUGGCAUCACCCGGACGAGAAAUACAUCACCAGAGUGGAUCAGGAUAUAGAACACCAAGUCCAAUUGAUGUCUGCUUAGAUGUAACGUCACCACCGGUAUCUCCAGCAGCAAAAGACAAUGAUAACAGCGACAGAUCACCAAGUGUAGACAUGACAAAGGAUUCCAGAGACAAUGUAACAAGUAGUAAUACUGUAAAACUUGAACACAUACCAAAGCCGUUGAUUUCUCCUGUCAUAGAGAACCAACAACAACAACCACAAAAAAUAACAAACUUUUUCAUUGACAAUAUUCUGAAACCGGACUUUGGACAGAAAACCUGUGAGACUUUAACGGUGAAUGUAAAAGACAGAUACCCACACAAUUUGCAUCACACGCGUAUGCAACAUUCGCAUCAUCAGCUCCAGAGUCCAAGAGUUAUAAAGAGAGAGCAUGAACAUUACCCUCCUAUGGGCAUACCUCGACCGGCACCCGUUAGUCCCCGACCAGUGGUGGGUGCAACUAUCGCGGCGGAAAGGAGUCCGGAAGAAAAGGUGAAUCCCCUUUGGCCAGCCUGGGUUUUCUGCACCCGAUACUCAGACAGACCUUCGUCAGGGCCAAGAUCAAGAAAGAUGAAAAAGAAAGAAAAGUUGAAGGAUGAGAAACGUCCGCGCACAGCAUUCACAAAUGAGCAGCUUUCCCGUUUGAAGAAAGAGUUUGAAGAAAACAGAUAUCUCACAGAGCAAAGAAGACACUGUUUGGCAGAUGAACUAAAACUGAAUGAAUCACAGAUUAAAAUCUGGUUUCAGAACAAGCGAGCGAAGCAGAAAAAGCACACUGGACUUCGGAACGGUCUUGCCUUACAUCUCAUGGCCCAGGGACUAUAUAAUCAUGCUACGGUUCCCAUAGAGGAACACGAAGAAGAGGACUAUCGUGUAAAAAGCAACAUACAACAUGGACAACCAUGUUAAUAUUGAUUCGCACUGUCCUUAUUCCCAUCUCACUAUUCCCGAAGACUAGCCACAAUGCCCUUGUCUUAUGAUCAGACUGUUUGGAGAGGAACUUUGGUGAUCUAUAUAUCGAAUAUAUAUUGAAUUAUCUUGUUGUUAAUCAUCAAAGUUUCUCUGCACAUAGCCCGCUCAUUGUAUUUUACGAACGGUUUUACGUUUUCUCCUUCAACCAGCACGCUAGAAAUGGGCUAGAAAUUCAAUGAUACAAUUCAAUGUUAAAACCCCUGAGCGUAGCCUAUGGUAAAAUCGGGUAACUUGGGAUUUGAGUAAAAAUGCGUUCAUGUUCCAUGCACGGUUAAAAUAUGCAAAAAAACUUUUUACGUUCUGCAACAGCAAAUUAUAAUCUUCAGUUUUUCUCAUAAGGGCAGAUUAAAAUUCAUACUCAUAUCUACGUAUUUUAACCAUGCAGGGAGCAACCCCACACCCUUCGCCCUUUCCCCCUUUUCAACCCGACACAGUAUGAAAUUAUGAACGAAUAUUUGCUGAUAUGGGGAAAAAACUAAAUAAUUGUAUAAAUAAAUGAAGGAGUAUAGUCAAAAUAUAAUUUUUAUGUACAAGGAUAUCCAAAGACAGAAGAGUGCAGUCGUGUAUCAAAAGCCUGAGUGACAGUUGUCUCAUUCUCACCCACCAUCACCCCCAGCACGAAUAGUUCAAAAUCAAAAUAUAUCUAGUAAAAUGUUGAAAUGACAUUUCCUAAAAAUAUUUUGGUGAAUGUGCGGAACUACCUUAAACAAUAGUUCAAACAUGGACUUUCAACAGAAAGCCAUGGUUCAAAGUGACUCGAUUUGGUAUAUAGUUUAUAUACUAGUUUUGACUGAUCUUUAAUAAGACUGUUCAUGGUGUUUGAGAUAAGCCAUGCCAUAUGAAUCAAGAUUAAAUUGUCAGUCAGCAACACUUUGAAGUGUUAGUUCAGGUUUCCUUAAUUACGAGCAAGAGUGUAUUAUUUUACACCUACACGUCACUACUAAACAAACUGGUGUAUAUUACAAAAAACAACAACUGUCAACUCGUGUAUAUUUCACUUGUAUAUAAUAAAUUAAUGACUG